UUAUAAAUAAAUAAGAAAAUCUGCUGUCCUGAUUUCUCUAUUCUUUUCUUUCUUCUGCACAGGCUGGCUCAUUCACAACAUAUUCUUCUCCCGUUUCCCUUCUAUUGUCGUCUCCAUUCUAUUUCUCAUAUGUAUUUUUUUUCUUUCUUUUCCUUGAAAGCUAUCAUAUAAACGUAUCCUGAGUUGAACAUGGUUGUGUUAAUUCGAAGAUGGUUGUGUUAAUUCAAGGAGAAAUCAGCACUGCUGGUUUGAAUCAGUGAAGAGACAGAAAAUAAGAAAUUAGGGUGUGCAGUAGAUAUGGUUUUGAUAGAGGAGAUCUAUGAUGAAAAUUCAAACAAAUAGGGAAUGAUUAUGUGGUGAUUUCGGGGUACGAUUUAGGUGGGAUUUGAAGGAUUGUGGUUGAAAGUCAAAGAUGGUGGUUGAUUUAAGGUUCCGAUUUCAAUCCUGAGGUUUGUUUGAUUACUUGUGUUGUUGUUCGUAACUUUAAUCUCGGUGCUUCUUCUGCUGGUGGUGAUUUGAUUACUUCCUCCUCUCUUUUCCUGUUAGAUUUCAAGCUUUUCCUUAUUUUCUUCUCCUUAAAAAUGAUGAUACUGUGAAACUGGUGAUUAUGCUGAUGGGAAGAAAUGAGUGACGAGAUCGAGAGAGAUUUUGAGAUGAGCAAGAAACAAAGAAGGAGAUUGUGUCGUUGUAACCAAGAGAUUAAAAUAAGCAGAGAAAUUAGGGAUCUAUUGAGAAGAAUCGAAAGAACAUGAUGAAGAAUUGAAGGUAGGGAUUUGAACUGAAUCGAAUUGACUAUUUGAUUAUCAUGGAUUCAUUGUUAUGGUGGAAAUGGUAAUUCGUAGACAAGAGUCAGUUGAAGCUUGGGUUAAACUCGAGCCUGAAAUGGGCAGUAACAUGGUUCAGUUUGAGUUGAAUUAGGGAAAAUUUGAAGUUGCUGCCUAAGACGGUGAUGAACACAAAAAGAAGAAGAAUAUCUGGUGAUGUAUUACUGUCAUUGUUGUGUACAAAGGGUGCUAGAUGACUUUGAAUUGGAAUUGGAAGAUUGGGUUUGUGGUUGAAUUGCAGAAUGUUGUGGUGGUUCUGGGGCGAUGUGUUGCAGAAGAUGUUGUUUCAGAGAAGGUGGUGGUGCUGAGUUGAUGUAGCGGAUGAGUGAAAUAAAGGAGAGGGUGGUGUUAGGGAAAAGAUGGAAAGUAAAGGUUAUUAUAGUAAAUAUGCCAUCAAUUUAUGCAUUUUAUUUAUUUUCUGUUUUAAUAAUAUCUAAACAGAAGUUAGUUUAACCGA